rnacentral:lncRNA from 1 species
CGGGCUGUUGAUCUCUACUUGGACCACAGCUGGUUUAGCCAUAAUAAUCUGCACACAAAUAAUAUGUACGAGAAAGUAUUACCUGUGGAUUACGAAGAUCAAGAGUAAAUCAGAAACAGUAAAAUUACUGGGACUACCCGUAGAACAGUGCAGACGGCAUCAGCAGCAUAGUUUAGUGCAAAAAAUCUGCAAGCCAAACACGAGCAUAAUAAAAUGACUACUAAAUUAUAACAAAAAAGUUCACAAAAAGCUACAACAAAUAAUAGGAAAUAAUGCUCUUAUCAAAAGUAGAUGCUCAUCAAUUACAGUUUGAGUAAAUUCAACAUCUUGUUGACAUGUAGAUCCCAAUAUAUUGAUGCAGGAAUAUAAUUUUAAAUAUUCAUAUGAUUAGUAAGAAUAAAAAAGAAAAGAAAAAACAAAAAUAUUACAAGUAUAGAAAAUAAUUAUCCUCUUAUAUAUUUGUCAAAUUGUUAUAAUUUUGGGUACUGACUUAUCUGUAUUUUGCAUAAUUAUAAAUAAAUAUCACAAUUUAAUUUAUAAAAAUGUAAAAUUAAUAAUUUUUAUAACAAAAUCAAAUUACUCAUUCUUUUUAUCGAAUUUGAGAAAGCAGAGGAAAAAAGCCUUUCCAAAAAUGAAUUUGUUAUAGAAUAUCCAAAACCAUAAAUGAAACAAAUGACAGUUGUAUAGGUCCGAAACAGAAGCCCAACCCGACCAGCCAUCGUUAUCACAAAACAGUCCUCAACCAAAAAAAAAACAAAAGAAAAGCAAGCAAACAUCACCGAACAGAACACAUUGAAUAUGAUUAAAAAAAUGGUGCCCAUAUUUCUAAUUUUCUAUCAUUACCUUGAGAUCUGAGUCAGCACCGCCCCACGCCGGCGAAGCCCCCCUCCCCACGACAACUCCACGGCGGCGGAUCGCCGGAGAUGGUGUUCAACAGCCCCAUAAUCGUCACAGUUGCCAAAGUAUCCGCGAAUGCUUGCCAAUACAUCGCUUGUAAUCCGCAAAUCCUCAACAGCGAUCAAGUUUUGCAUCUUAUCUUCUGUUUCCCCUUUCAACAGUUCCGGCGAUUCACGCUCUGUUUGUGCUCUGUUUUUUGUUGCCCUGCGAGGAAUGUGUUCGUAUCGGAUUCCGACUCGGACUCCGAUUCGGAGCCGUACGAUUCCCACUCGGAUUAGAUUUUGUUGUAUAGUAGUGUAACAUGGUUAGAUAAUUAUGAUGGUUAAAGUUAUACUGUUAUUGUAUUGAAUGAAUUUGUCAUGUUUUGAAUUAAUAAUGGAAUGUGAAUUUUGCGUUCGUUAUGGAUUUAUUGUGUUUUUAGGUAUGGUUUCUGUGUGAUUGAUGUGAUGUGUUUUUGUGUAUGGUGAGAAUUGGUAACUGAUUGGGAAUUUCGGAUCAUGUGUUUUGAACAUGUGAGGUUGUCUGGUUAUGAUUGGAUGCGUGCUCCAACAAGUUUAUCAGGUUAGUGUUUCGAUUGUUGCUUGGAUGAUUGAAAUUUGAAACCAGUUGGUGCUGUGUUAAUUUCUAUAUGCCAGAAGAAUAUCUUGACCAUCUGUUGCUUAAGUUGUUUUAUUUUGCAUAUUUUUGGGUUUUACUACUUGCCUUGUAUGUAUUUGGGAUGUAAUUCGUUUUGGUUUGCUGUGUUGUGAAUGAUAUUGGUUUGCCCAUCGGGGGCUGCAACAUUCUUUGAGUAAUGUAUUUUUCAAGCGAUUUUUAGUUGAUGUUAUUUGUUUGUACUUGAUGAAAAACUAUAUAGAAUAAUCUUUCUCUUAGCAAUGAUUUUAUGUUGAAUAUAUCCUUGGCAUUGCAUUUGAUGGUUGAUAGUAUCAGUCCACACCGCUUUCGUCUCUUGCGCAUCUAUCCACAGGUGUGUUCCCAAUCCACAACUCUCAAUGUUGAAGCCACUGGUGAUGUAACCCGAAGUUCAAAUCUGAAGGACAAUUAUCAAGGCCUGUCAAGAAAAAUACUCUCCUUGUGAGGUUUUGUAGCUUAUAGGUAUUGGAAUGUUAUUGUAAUGGCUGGAAAAUGGCUUAUAAAUUACAAUUAAUCAUGUUAUCUAUUGCAC